AGGACGAACGCUGGCGGCGUGCUUAACACAUGCAAGUCGAACGGUAAGGCCCCUUCGGGGGUACACGAGUGGCGAACGGGUGAGUAACACGUGAGCAACCUGCCCUUGACACUGGAAUAACAGUUGGAAACAGCUGCUAAUGCCUGAUACGACCUUCGGUGGCAUCACCUGAAGGUGGAAAGUGAUAGCGGUCAAGGAUGGGCUCGCGGCCUAUCAGCUAGUUGGUGAGGUAACGGCUCACCAAGGCUUCGACGGGUA
rnacentral:rRNA from 1 species